UACAGGGGGCGCGAGCGUUGCUCGGAAUCACUGGGCGUAAAGCGUGCGUAGGUGGCGCGUUAAGUGAGAUGUUAAAUCGUGUGGCUCAACCAUAUCGAUGCAUCUCAUACUGGCGUGCUAGAGGACAGCAGAGGCAAGUGGAAUUGGUAGUGUAGCAGUGAAAUGCGUAGAUAUUACCAGGAACACCAAUGGCGAAGGCAGCUUGCUGGGCUACUCCUGACACUGAGGUACGAAAGCGUGGGGAGCGAACAGG
rnacentral:rRNA from 1 species